rnacentral:rRNA from 1 species
CCUACGGGAGGCAGCAGUGAGGAAUAUUGGUCAAUGGGCGAGAGCCUGAACCAGCCAAGUCGCGUGAAGGAUGAAGGCCCUACGGGUUGUAAACUUCUUUUGUCAGGGAGCACUUGAGUCCACGUGUGGUCUUAGCGAGAGUACCUGAAGAAAAAGCUUCGGCUAACUCCGGGCCAGCAGCCGCGGUAAUACGGGGGACGCGAGCGUUAUCGGCAUUUAUGGGGGUUAAAGGGUGCGUAGGCGGAUUAUCAAGUCUGCGUUAAAAAUUUGGGGGUCAACCCCAUCGUGCCGUUGAAACUGAUGUGCUUGAGUGGGCGAGAAGUGUGAGGAAGACGGGGUGUAGCGGUG